rnacentral:lncRNA from 1 species
AUGCAAUUCGGUCACCAUGCUGCACUGAGCCCGCCCCUGCUGCAGCCCUUGUUCCCACUGGCUGCAGUCUGCUCGCACUCCGAAUACACUGCAAUCCCUCCGCUCCAUGCACGCUCUGCAGCUCCCCUUGCACCCUGCAAGCCCCCAUUCACCCUGUACUGCCCUUGCAUCCCCCUGCACCCCGCAUGCACAGCACCACGCUGCAGCCCCGUUACAUCCUGCAUGCAUUGCAUCCUCCCCGCACCCUGCAGCCCCCCGCCUCGCUCCCACCCCAGCAGCCGCCAUCACGAGCGCGACCCACCCGCCCCCUCCCACCCUCCGCCGCCGCGUAACGCCCGCCCUUCCCCGGCUGCGGGGCGGAGCUGGGCGGGCAGUAGCAAUGCGCAUGGGCCCCGGUGCCGAACGGAGCCUUUCUCUGCGCCGGGGAGCGCGAGUGUGAGGGGGGUGUGUGCCGGUUGGAUGCGGUUCCCCCUCCCGGAGCGUCCUCCGUCGGUUCUGCGUCCGUCGCCCAUUCACCUGCCCGGACGGCGGCCAUGGAGGCGGUACGAGGCUGGUAGGCGGCGGGCAGGGCCUCCGCUGCGGCGGGGCGAGGUGAGAGCGGGGCGGAACGAUGCGGGGAGGAGUGGGGGGUGGGGGGCUUUGUCAGCGCCGACGGCCGCGCUGCCUCUCGGGGCCGGUGAAGGAACAGCGCCGUGCGGCUCCAUCUCCAGCCGGUGGGUUCCGGGCAUUUUUAUCCUUGUUUUCUUUAUUUUAUUUGAAUUUUUUUCCUCCUUUCCAUCGGGGAUCAGUGCGGUCGGUCCGUGCUCGCUCACCGUAGGAGGUGGGAAGCGGCAGAGCGCAGCGCCCGGCUGUACUCGCGGGGCUCCGUGCGCCGCUGCCCGCAGCCUCGUGUCGGAUCCUCGCUGCGCUCUGAGCCCUUUGUGCGACAGGCACGCGGCCCUUUGGAACCGUUUAAAGCCCCCCUACACCAUGCGGGGGGAUCCCCGCACACCCCGUGGCUCCGGGGCUGCCGUCGGACCGCGGAAAGGCGUGGGGUGCCCCGGGUUGGGGGGUCUCCCUGGUUGGCUCAGCGCUCCGUGCGGUGGGGAUGGCGGUGUUGGGUGUUCAAAGGGAGGAUCCGGAGUGCUGCGGGUGAAUUGUGGCUUCUGCAGAACGUCAGGUGUGCCUUGA